rnacentral:rRNA from 1 species
UACAGAGGUCCCAAGCGUUGUUCGGAUUCACUGGGCGUAAAGGGUGCGUAGGCGGUCGGGUAAGUCUGAUGUGAAAUCUCACAGCUUAACUGUGAAACUGCAUUGGAUACUAUUCGGCUAGAGAGUUGGAGGGGGGACUGGAAUUCUUGGUGUAGCAGUGAAAUGCGUAGAUAUCAAGAGGAACACCAGUGGCGAAGGCGAGUCCCUGGACAACUUCUGACGCUGAGGCACGAAAGCUAGGGGAGCAAACGGG